CCUUUUCAGCCGGUAUCCCCUUUUCAGCCGGUAUCUCCUUUUCAACCGGUAUCCCCUUUUCAGCCGGUAUCCUCUUUUCAGCCGGUAUCCCCUUUUCAGCCGGUAUCCCCUUUUCAGCCAGUUGCUUUCCCCUUUUCAUCACGGCUGCUUUCUAGGAACUGAUGCUCGAGUUAAGAGAGGGCUACGCAUGGUGAAAGUAAAUUAAGCUCUCUGGUAAAAGCACAACUAGACAGUUUUCCAGGGAUUUUGUGUGACUAUUAGCGGGAAUUGAAGUCAUUCCCAGACACUUCUGACCAAUUACUGAAUACAGUAAUCAUUCUGCUUAUCUAACAGGGAGACAUGUAGACGCAGAGAGAGGAAGACUGCAGGUACUGCAGGAUUUUGUUCCAACUAGGCACCACACACCCAACCAACUGAGCUAAUUGGCUUCAUCCAAUAUUAAUAUGUGCGUGUGAGUGUCUCUCUCUGUGUGUGUUUGUGCGUGUGUCCAUGCUUCCUCGAAGACGAUGAAUGUGUGUGUGUCUCCAUGCUCCCUCUAAGAUGAAUGAGUGGUGGUGCAGCACCAACAUGGGGAAGACAAGUCCACCAUGCCCAGUGAGCAGCAGCACACUGCUAUCAUCAUUUACCACAUAAACCUUCCCAUGAGAGUACUGAUUUACAUUCACCAGGGCACACAGGUGUAGGGGACUCAACGACAGGGGGAGGGCAGGGGCAGACAAACACAGAGAGAGAGAGAGAGGCAGGCACACAGGUGUAGGGGACUCAACGACAGGGGGAGGGCAGGGGCAGACAAACACAGAGAGAGAGAGAGAGGCAGGCACACAGGUGUAGGGGACUCAACGACAGGGGGAGGGCAGGGGCAGACAAACACACAGAGAGAGAGAGAGGCAGGCACACAGGUGUAGGGGACUCAACGACAGGGGGAGGGCAGGGGCAGACAAACACACAGAGAGAGAGAGAGGCAGGCACACAGGUGUAGGGGACUCAACGACAGGGGGAGGGCAGGGGCAGACAAACACACAGAGAGAGAGAGAGGCAGGCACACAGGUGUAGGGGACUCAACGACAGGGGGAGGGCAGGGGCAGACAAACACACAGAGAGAGAGAGAGGCAGGCACACAGGUGUAGGGGACUCAACGACAGGGGGAGGGCAGGGGCAGACAAACACACAGAGAGAGAGAGAGGCAGGCACACAGGUGUAGGGGACUCAACGACAGGGGGAGGGCAGGGGCAGACAAACACACAGAGAGAGAGAGAGGCAGGCACACAGAGGUGUAGGGGACUCAACGACAGGGGGAGGGCAGGGGCAGACAAACACAGAGAGAGAGAGAGAGGCAGGCACACAGGUGUAGGGGACUCAACGACAGGGGGAGGGCAGGGGCAGACAAACACACAGAGAGAGAGAGAGGCAGGCACACAGGUGUAGGGGACUCAACGACAGGGGGAGGGCAGGGGCAGACAAACACACAGAGAGAGAGAGAGGCAGGCACACAGAGGUGUAGGGGACUCAACGACAGGGGGAGGGCAGGGGCAGACAAACACAGAGAGAGAGAGAGAGGCAGGCACACAGGUGUAGGGGACUCAACGACAGGGGGAGGGCAGGGGCAGACAAACACACAGAGAGAGAGAGAGGCAGGCACACAGAGAUAAGCUGACACACACACACACACACACACACACACACACACCCCCAGAUAAGCUGACAGGUAUUGUACAAAGACACAAGCACACAGAUGAGCUGGCACGUACAGUACACAGACACACACACAAGGGUGGAGCGCACAAAGAGGCUGCCAUGCACACAUAUACAUUGUCCCACAUAAACACAAAGCUAGACUGUUUCUCCUAUCAGAGUCAGACAUCUACCUUCUCCUUUUAAAACACUGAUCGAGAGAACUUCCAUGUCAUUGCAUUCACUUGGGAUGUAAUUGGAAGAAUUCACAAGUGGCUGCCUCUGCUCUGACCCUCAUUGGUUAGAAUUAAUUGUAGACAGGGAUAAUAGGAAAAUAUAUUACAAACAAAUGGGGGAUUGGAAAUGAUACAGACAAAUACAUUGGGAGUAGACACAGUCUAUCUGCAAUAUUAAAGCUGAUCCACCCCGUAAAAAAUAAAGGAUAUAAAAAUAUAUAUAUUAGACAUGGAUAAACUAAAUGAUCUCUACCAUACACACACACACACACACCAGAAGAUUGUGUAUGGACUGUAUGUGUGAGAAAGAUAAUUGCCUGGUUUAGCUGAGGUGAAGCACCACAGUAAGGACAAGUGUUUAUCUGAGAGUUCCUCCACUCCUCAACACCUGUUUCUACAGAAUGGUCCGUGCACAGGGAGAGGAGUAGCAGAUAGAGAGGGAGGAAGAAAUGGGAGAGAGAGAGAGAGAGAGAGAGAGAGAGAGAGAGAGAGAGAAAGGGGGAGGAAUAGAGGGCGAGAGAGGGAAUAGAUCAAAUGAGAGGAAAAAAAGAGAUGGACAUAAAAGGAGAGUAAAACAUAUGAAUAGAGGGACAGAGAUAAAAGGCUGCCGACGUCUCAUCAGAGCAGUCUGAAGUGGACAGACAGACUCUACACUGGUGUGGGUGACUCUUGGCUAUCUUCUGAGUGUUUGCAUUGGUGACAAAGUGGACUCAAUGUCUCCAUAUUGCAGUCUACACACACGUCAACCCACUGGCCCCUCGCUCUUAACUCCCUCGUCCCCCUGUGUUACUGCACAGCGGCCGGCAAACACUCCCCUUAGAGCACGCUGAGGACACACACACAAACCAGAAACAAACAACUAAAAAUAAAGGGAUGUCUUCACAUGAGACUGGCAAGAACAGCAACACACACACUCUGACACACACCUCCUGAUUCCCUGCCUGCCCAGACUAGAAAGCCAAACAAGCUUAUUAAAGAUACACACUGACCUGGCAGCAUGGUCCAUGCUUCACUCUUCACCCAGCAAUCCUGAGCUCAACAUCCCCAUGCGCCAGGGUGUGUUUGUGUGUGUUUGUCAGUUGUCAACCUCGUGGUGUUGGUUGGCAGCGCUGCCUUGAGCAAGGCUGAAGUAUGGUGAGAAUCUACAGAGAACACACAUAGAAAGGAGAGAGAAGGGAGGAGGAGAGAGGAGAGCGACUGCUUGCCAUCCAGCUCCUGUGCGGAGUGCACCACACUCACAUGCCUCAGCAUCCCUCUACCCCUCUCUCUCCCUCUCCACACUAUGAGAAACCAUAGAAGAGACAACUAGUCUUAUUUAUCCCACUUGCUCCAUAGAGAAUCAUUAUAUUUUACUCUAUCUUGCCCUUGCCACUUAUCUCUACCUCUCUCAAGUAUGUGGUAGGGCUGAUUGGAUUUGGUGUGCGUCAGUUUGUGUGCCUGUGUGAGGCUGUAAUCAUUGAUCCAUCCCUUUAUUACAUGUGUGUAAACUUGCAUGUGUAUAAUAGUUUGUGUGUGUUUGUGUUAGAGAAAGGGAGGGAGCUAUCGCUGCAGUAGAGACAAUGGGGGUUGAGGGGAGGGAGGGGGGAAUGACACGACAAACUGGUGGUGAUUGAGAAUGCUCUGCACCACUGCUCUAGCUGGCACAGCAGGAGCUGUGUGUGUAUGUGGGCACCAUUUAACAGACAUGGUACAUUAAUCAAGAGUAGAGAUACUGGUGUGUAUUGUGUGCUAGCUGUGGGGUGCGAGAGCAAACGUUUCAUUACCGUCUGUUUAGCACAUUAUGAUGGCUUAUUGAGUCACUUCACGAUUUGGCAGCCCAGUCCGCCCACUGGAACACACACACACAGAUAUUGCUAUUCUCCUCAUAGCACCUGUCUGACAAACUGGUGUCACAAAUCCAACGUGACGCCGCUCACUCACUGUCAAACAGACAGACAUCAACAGAGAAGAAAUAUACUCAACAACCGUCUCAAUGACUCAUACAUCAAACACAUAAUCUCACCCUCCCAACGACUCAAACAUCAUCUGACCCUCCCAACGACUCAAACAUCAUCUGACCCUCCCAACGACUCAAACAUCAUCUGACCCUCCCAAUGACUCCUACAUAAAAAAAUAUUUAUUUCUACAUCAUCUGAUAUCAGUACAAUUUCAAUUACCAGUUUACAAACACCGUCUGCAGCAGCAUCUCAGACACCUGUACGCACGCACACGCUCAGCAUAUCAUCCCGCUUUCAAUCAAGAAACUGUUAAAUCGGCCUUCCGAGUGGCGCAGCGGUCAAAGGCACUGCACUGCACCCGGGUUUGAUCCCAGGCUGUGUCACAACUGGCAGUGACCAGGAGUACCAUAGGACGGCACACAAUUGGCCCAGCGUCGUCCGGGUUAGGGCAGGGUUUGGUCGGGGGGGGCUUUACUUGGCUCAUUGUGCUCUAGCGACUCCUUGUGGCGGACCGGGCGCCUGCAGGCUGACCUCACUCAUCAGUUGAGCGGUGUUUCCUCCGGCACAUAUAUGCGGCUGGCUUCCGGGUUCAGUGGGCGGGUGUUAAGAAGCGAGGUUUGGCAGGUCAUGUUUCGCAGGACGCAUUACUCAACCUUUGCCUCUCUCUCUCUCUCUCGAGCAUGUUGGGGAGUUGCAGCGUUGAGACAAGACCGUAACUGAAUAUCACGAAACUUGAGAGAAAAAAGGGGUAAAAUACAAAAAAAAUAAGAAAAUGUUUAUCAAAUAAAACACAUGCAGAAAGACAGUCGAAAUUGCCCCAAAGUAAUGUUUGUUUGUGUUUUCCUAAACUGUCCUUGACAACUCGUAGAAACAAAUCCUUUUCAGAAAAUAUUGCUUGGUUAAGUCAUUUCAGGAACUUAGUGAUCGCUGCUUCGUCGUCUCUGCACUUCAAUUAGCCAGUCAUUGAGUGGAACAGUGAUGCAGAAUACCCAUCCACAGACCAACGGGCUGCUUGAAAACUCCAUUACUCUGCAUCUGGCCUGCAUACAUAGUAGGACAAGUCAUCAUCUCUCCAGGAUAAAUAUAACUCAAUAUCAAAACAUCCUCUCCCCAGGAGAAAUAAACAGCAUAUUCAAGGACAAGGACAAAGUAAAUAGAAUAUAUAGCGAUGAUUUAUAUAGGUUAAAAUAGUUCAUCUCUGAACCACCCAUACCGGAUCCGGGAUAAUUGUCAUCAGCAACGCUGAAUACCAUAGCGCCACAGUCAAAUAAUAUUACUAGAAAAUAUUAAUAUUCAUGAAAUCACAAGUGCAAUAUUGCAAAACACAGCUUAGCCUUUUGUUAAUCCACCUGUCGUCUCAGAUUUUGAAAUUAUGCUUUACAGCGAAAGCAAUCCAAGCGUUUGUGUAAGUUUAUCGAUCGCUCGACUCAAACAAUAAUAAGUACACUUAGCAUCAGGCAACUUAGUCAUGAAAAUCAGAAAAGCAAUCAAAUUAAUCGUUUACCUUUGAUGAUCUUCGGAUGUUUUCACUCACGAGACUCCCAGUUAGACAACAAAUGUUCCUUUUGUUCCAAAAAUAUAUUUUUUUAUAUCCAAAUACCUCCGUUAGUUUGG